CGGCGGACGGGUGAGUAACGCGUAGGAAUCUACCUAGUAGAAGGGGAUAGCCCGAGGAAACUCGGAUUAAUACCGUAUACCUCCUUAGGGAGAAAGAGGGCUUAGCUUUGAUGCUCUCGCUAUUAGAUGAGCCUGCGUAAGAUUAGCUUGUUGGUGAGGUAAUGGCUCACCAAGGCGACGAUCUUUAGCUGGUCUGAGAGGACGAUCAGCCACAUUGGGACUGAGACACGGCCCAGACUCCUACGGGAGGCAGCAGUGGGGAAUAUUGGACAAUGGGCGCAAGCCUGAUCCAGCCAUACCGCGUGUGUGAAGAAGGCUUUCGGGUUGUAAAGCACUUUAAGUAAGGAGAAAAAGAUUGCAGUUAAUACCUGC
rnacentral:rRNA from 1 species